rnacentral:tRNA from 1 species
GCCUGGGUGGCUCAGUCGGUUGAGUGUCCGACUUCGGCUCAGGUCAUGAUCUCACGGUUCGUGGGUUCGAGCCCCAUGUCGGGCU